UUACGGCCAUAUCACAUUGAAACACCGGUUCCCGUACGAUCACCGCAGUUAAGCAACGUCGAGCCUGGUCAGUACCCAGAUGUGUAACCGCUUGAAAACACCAAGU